AAAUCUUAAAAAAAAUCAUUCGCUAAUUUCUUUUUCCCUUUCAUAUUUCCUCCCCCAUUUCUUUUAUGCGACAUCUUCAUCUCCCCCAUUUCUUUGUUGCGCCAUCUAGACACCUAGAGGUUCCUCCUCCCGUUUCCCCCCACCCCAUUUUCGACUUUCCCCAUUUUGGCAGCUGCAACACGGCGGCGUAGGCGGCUGCUCAGAGCGACGACACAUGGGCGAGCUUAAUUAGUUGGGAGUGGAGGUGAGGGGUGUGGCUGCACAGCGAGCGCACAAUUGUUGCUGUCAACGGACAACUCCCUCUUCUUCUUUGUAUACUUCUUCUCUUCUACCUCUCUUCUCCUUCUCUUACUUCAAUCUCUCAUCCAUCUUCCCUUUCUUUCUGAUUUCCUCAUAUUGUAAGGUUAGGGUUUGGUUUUUACCCCAAAAUUUUAUUUUUUUAGUUUUAUAAUUUUUUUUAAAACUUAUUUUUGUUUAUAAUGUGGUUUCCCUGAUCCAUAGCUUCUUGCGUGGCUGCCUUGAUUUUCGCAAAUUGCAGCUCCUUGUGUGGUUAGCCUCUUCCUUGUGCGGCAAUAUUUUCCCAAAUCUGCUACUUCUUCUUCUGUAUAUUUUGUACUAGCUAUACAUACAUAUAUAUGUGUGUGUGUGGGUGGGUGUGGUCAUAACAUUGCUCAAAUUACUUUUCAAAGCUGAACAAUUGAAGGUAAAUUAGACAUAUGAAGGAAAUAGAGACUUGACCCACUAAAAUGAUAAACUUUAUGUUUAAAAUGGAAUGAAACAGUUGUGGGAUUAGUUACCAUGAUAUUUUUUGCACCUAAGUUAGUUACUUGAGAAUAGGUGCCAACAAAUAUCUUUGUAGGAUUUUGAGUAUCUAUUUGUAUACAGAGCUGCAUUUGCAAUAUGAUUCCCAAUAAACAACUUUUUCAUGAGAAUUUGAGUAUAUAUGUAACCAAUCUUAAUUAAGAGAAUUUCAUGUGAAGAAGGUCUCUUUAAAACUUCAUGUUUUUUUAUGAUUAUGAAGUAUAUUGUAUUUACAACUUUAGAGGAGAUUAUUGACAGCCGCCACCCUUAGCUUGCUAGGUGGAGGAGCUUAUGCAAGUACUGUGGAUGAAGCAACUUUUUGGUAUGAUUUUUCUCUUAAUCUUUGGCAAUUGAAAAGAACAUAAAGGUUUACGUUCUUUCAUGGAUAUGUAUUUGAAUCACAAAGAAAUUUUUCCAAAACUAAAGAUACUACCAUUGUGAAAUGUGAACUCCCUCUUAAAUCAACUUAUUGUGUUAUGCACUAAGGAAAUAAUUGUUGUACUGCCUUAUCAAUCGUUGAUUAUAGACUGCAUAGAAUAACAGAUAAACAUUUUAGCCUUAUGACAAUGAGUCUUAAAAUUGAGGACAUUAACUUCCUAAAUUUCUUCUAGAAUUUCAUCUCAUUAUCUUAAUUAAACUUACCUGAAAAAAAAACAGAGAAAAUGAAGGAAUUUUAUUGUUUGGUGUACAAUCAUGAUGUAUCCAAUACAAAUAGAUUGCAUAUAGCAUCUUAGAAACGUAGGAAGAACAUAAAAAAAUUGCAAUAAUAUAUUCCUUUGACAGAUAUUGUAGGUUAAUUUUGCAUAAACAAGUACCUCAUCAAAUGCCUCAAAUAUGUCGAUACUUGGCUGAUGAAUGGUGCACUCAACUGUCCUUCAUGUAUUAACAAUAUUUUUCACUACUCGCAUGACAAUUGCAGCUGAUCUGGCAUCUAAUCCAGAAGUUGGUUCAUCCAUGAAUAUUAUGGAUGGAUUUGAAACAAGCUCUACUGCUAUUGUCAGCCGUUUUCGCUGUUCAUUUGAUAUACCACUUACACCAGGAAAGCCAACCACUUUCUCUUUCUUCCACGAGUAGAUGUGUGCAGGUGUUGUGUUGCUCACUGAUAGUGUCUUUUGGUAAAUGAUCUUUUAUUUUGUAGACAUUUUUUGUUCUAUGGAUGUGUAUAUCUCGUAAUUUUCCAGUUUGUCUAUUUCUCUAUUCGCAUGACUAACUUGAGUUGAUACUCUUUCCAGCGAUUUCCUUUCUUUCGUAUUACAUAUUUUGUUCAGUGGACUUGUAUUUUUGUCCUAUUCCAAUGGAUCAUCCAUGCUUGCCUUUGUAUGAUUUAUAAUUUGUGUAUUAGAAUUGAACAUUAAUCAACUAUAGAGUACAAACACUAUCUUUUGCAACAAGUGGAAGUGGAUGAUGCCAAAGAAUUAAUCGUGCAGACUGCAUCUGCAGGACCAUUGACAGCCUACAAAGAAUUUCUGCACUUUGUUUCUUUUAAUAUCAGCUGGGAUGAAUGGUGGAUAGAGUUGGGGGCUGGUUAAGACUCUAGUUGUCAAACAUCAGAUUUUAAUAAAUGGCAUUAAUUAUUGUAUCUAUAAUAUUCCUUGAACCUUAUAAUGAUUUAUUGGAUAUUUGGCUUUGUGAGGCAGUUUUUAUUUGCAAGUCAUAUUGUAAAGUUAUUACGGCAGUACGUAGCUUUCCAUAAUGUAGAGGAUAUAUCUAAAGUCAAGUGAAGUAGUAUGCAUGUUCUUAGUUGAAUGUCGAAGUGAAGAGUCUUUGGAUUUUAAUUAUCUAGUGUCAAAUUUAAGGUUUAUUUCUAUAUCUCUUGCUCAUAUUGCUACUGAGAACUAUUGUAGGGUUAGUGAGUAUUAAAUCAUUGGUGACACCAGUUGGGGAUCCUCUUUUUCUUGUUCUUUUAAUCCGCACGAGUAUUCUCUAGAGUUGUUUCCUUAGAGAAUUAUUCUGGUAGAAUUCAAUAGGGUAAAUUUGACACGCUUAUUCUACUCCGCCCCUUUUGUUCAGUCAAAUAGCUAGGGACCUCUGCUACUGUUAAUAGCUAUCAAGUAAUUCUGCCACUUGACUAUGCUGACCAGACAAAAGGACAUGAUAAACCUUGUAACAUUUGGUCCAAUAUACUGUAGAUUUUAUUAGGAAGAGGAAAAAUUAAAAUCUUAUUUAGAUUUUUUUGUAUAAUGCAUGUUUUUUGUAUGGACAACCAUGCGAAGAAUGUAAACUAUGCUCAACCUCCAUGGACAAAGUUUACGUAACUAUGUAUCAUUAUCACUAGGAUCAGCUGUUAGCCCAGCCUUUUAAAUCACCUCUAAUGGGAUUUACUGAUGGAAAGAUGUGUUCUUGACUACUAGUUCCUUGGUGUGAUUGAUGGUAUUCACUUUUUUAAUAUCUUACAUGGAACAAGGUAUCCUCCGCUUGUAAAUCAUUUAUGUAUUGCUAAUCAGGGGAGGAGGAACAUGACUCUUGACUCUGGAGUUCUAAAUUUCUAUUUAGUCAAAAAUGAUUAUGUUGAACCUUUCUUGCCAUUGUGCUACUGUUCAACCAUGAGCAAUGAGCGGAAUUAUUUUGCCAUUUUUUUAUGUGGCUUGACUUGUUGUGCACUAAAUCAAAGCAUAUUCUAACCUAUUGAUUAUCAUUUAGAAAAAAUGUGGCACUUGAUUGACUGUAUUAUAUUUGGUCUUUGGAGUAAGAUCAUUAAUAUUUAUUACGUUUGCUAUUUUCUAGUUUCUGAUAUUUUUUCUGAACAUGUUUAUUUUAUUGAACUACUAGAUACUGAAAUCCCUCUUCGAGAUUGUUCUAUUUGAUGACUGCGUCAACCAGUGGACUCUUAGCAGACCAAUUCUCAGUUUGAUACUUAUAAGUGAAGAGGUAAUAGAUGGAAUCCUCAUUGUUUUUCUUUUCUGAUUUAUAAUUUUCUGUAAGGUUGGUGCAACUGCUUCAUUUGGCUGUGUUUCAUUCUCAUAAAGAAAAGGGUUGAAGUUUAUAAAUAUGGCAACUCUAGAUUGUACUUUGAGUUAUAUGGUGAAUCACUGUAGGGAUUUUAGGAUAUCAAAGGGAAGGCUUUAUGGUUCUAAAUUGAAUAAAGUGCAUUCCUCUUAUCCUAUCCUAUAUAGGGUACACAAUAUAUAUAUAUAUAUAUGGAUUCGAGUGAAGGAUCUGUUUGGAAGAGGAGAAUAACAGCUGCUGAUCAGAUGCACUUGUGUACUUCAAAUAAGAAGAUUCAGAAGAAGAAGCAGCAGCAGAGGAAGAAGGACAAAAAUUGUAAUCUGGUGAGUUAUGAGGAAUUGUCAGAGUACAUGAAGGACAAUGAGUAUAUACAUAAUUAUUAUAGAGCUAAUUGGCCUCUCAAACAAGCCCUCUUUAGCAUUUUUCGUUGGCAUAACGAGACCCUUAAUGUUUGGACGUAAGUCAUAUGAAAAUUCAUUACUUUUAAUUUUUGGGUUUUUUUUUGUUAAUCAUAUACUAUAUACUACUAUUAAUCUGUUAUUGUUUAUUUUGGUACGUCGUGGUGGUGUGUCAUAAUAAUAGUAAUAAAUAAUAAUUGAAUCGAUUGGUUCUGAUGAUGCAUGUGCAGGCAUUUAAAAGGAUUUGUUGUAUUUGUGGGAUUAACGUUUGCAAACUUGAUGCAUGUGCCUCCUCCGAUGGCGGAUUUCCUUAAUAUAUUUACUUCCUGGUACGUUGCGUUAUAUUAUUAUUGCUCUCUCUACAGCUGAAUGCAUAUAAGAUUAAAAAAAAUACUCCACUUACUUUUGUGUAAUUCAUCCCCUUCCCCUUCCCCUUCCCCUUCCCCUUCCCCUAUACUUACUUCUUUGGUAAAGGAGAAUUAGAUACAAGUAAUUUCACUUUGGGAUGUAAUUACACUUGAUUUAGUCGAUAAAAUGUUAGUAUAGUAGUAAUUAAAAGCCUGGUUGUUAUGGCAUUUUAUUUUUUGACUUUUUUAUACUUUAUUAUUGCAGGUCAUUUCCAUCAAGUAAUGACACAAAUGUCUCUCUUAAUUUGAAGAAUUUCUUUUCUGUAAGUUUGUUUUAUAUCCCAUCUAUUUCCAAAAUUAUUUUGUGAAUAUUAAGGAUAUAUAUAUACUAAUUUGUUAGAUGUACGUACGUACUAUAAAGUUAUUCGUUUUAUUAGGC
rnacentral:lncRNA from 1 species